CGUGUAGGCGGAAUGCCAGGUGCUGUGUGAAAGCCCCGGGCUCAACCCGGGAAUUGCAUAGCAAACCGGCAUUCUUGAGGCAGGUAGAGGUGACUGGAACGACUGGUGGAGCGGUGAAAUGCGUAGAUAUCAGUUGGAACGCCAGCGGCGAAAGCGGGUCACUGGGCCUGUCCUGACGCUGAGACGCGAAAGCGUGGGGAGCGAACAGGAUUAGAUACCCUGGUAGUCC
rnacentral:rRNA from 1 species